UACGGAGGAUGCGAGCGUUAUCCGGAUUUAUUGGGUUUAAAGGGUGCGUAGGCGGACUGUCAAGUCAGCGGUAAAAUUGAGAGGCUCAACCUCUUCCCGCCGUUGAAACUGGAGGCCUUGAGUGGAUGAGAAGUACGCGGAAUGCGUGGUGUAGCGGUGAAAUGCAUAGAUAUCACGCAGAACUCCGAUUGCGAAGGCAGCAUACCGGCGCCCUACUGACGCUGAGGCACGAAAGCGUGGGUAUCGAACAGG
rnacentral:rRNA from 1 species